AAAUGAAAGAUCGCUCGACAAACUGCCGCUUCCAGUCAGUUGGAUCUGAUCUUAUACCCGCACACGAGAGCUACCGGAGCAGCAGCAGAUUAACAAGGACCCAAGCUGGACUCCCAAGUUCUUCGGCUCAAGGCGCUAAGGUGCUAAUGUAUUA